rnacentral:rRNA from 1 species
GAGUAGGGCGGGACACGUGGUAUCCUGUCUGAAUAUGGGGGGACCAUCCUCCAAGGCUAAAUACUCCUGACUGACCGAUAGUGAACCAGUACCGUGAGGGAAAGGCGAAAAGAACCCCGGCGAGGGGAGUGAAAAAGAACCUGAAACCGUGUACGUACAAGCAGUGGGAGCACGCUUAGGCGUGUGACUGCGUACCUUUUGUAUAAUGGGUCAGCGACUUAUAUUCUGUAGCAAGGUUAACCGAAUAGGGGAGCCGAAGGGAAACCGAGUCUUAACUGGGCGUUAAGUUGCAGGGUAUAGACCCGAAACCCGGUGAUCUAGCCAUGGGCAGGUUGAAGGUUGGGUAACACUAACUGGAGGACCGAACCGACUAAUGUUGAAAAAUUAGCGGAUGACUUGUGGCUGGGGGUGAAAGGCCAAUCAAACCGGGAGAUAGCUGGUUCUCCCCGAAAGCUAUUUAGGUAGCGCCUCGUGAAUUCAUCUCCGGGGGUAGAGCACUGUUUCGGCAAGGGGGUCAUCCCGACUUACCAACCCGAUGCAAACUGCGAAUACCGGAGAAUGUUAUCACGGGAGACACACGGCGGGUGCUAACGUCCGUCGUGAAGAGGGAAACAACCCAGACCGCCAGCUAAGGUCCCAAAGUCAUGGUUAAGUGGGAAACGAUGUGGGAAGGCCCAGACAGCCAGGAUGUUGGCUUAGAAGCAGCCAUCAUUUAAAGAAAGCGUAAUAGCUCACUGGUCGAGUCGGCCUGCGCGGAAGAUGUAACGGGGCUAAACCAUGCACCGAAGCUGCGGCAGCGACGCUUAUGCGUUGUUGGGUAGGGGAGCGUUCUGUAAGCCUGUGAAGGUGUACUGUGAGGUAUGCUGGAGGUAUCAGAAGUGCGAAUGCUGACAUAAGUAACGAUAAAGCGGGUGAAAAGCCCGCUCGCCGGAAGACCAAGGGUUCCUGUCCAACGUUAAUCGGGGCAGGGUGAGUCGACCCCUAAGGCGAGGCCGAAAGGCGUAGUCGAUGGGAAACAGGUUAAUAUUCCUGUACUUGGUGUUACUGCGAAGGGGGGACGGAGAAGGCUAUGUUGGCCGGGCGACGGUUGUCCCGGUUUAAGCGUGUAGGCUGGUUUUCCAGGCAAAUCCGGAAAAUCAAGGCCGAGGCGUGAUGACGAGGCACUACGGUGCUGAAGCAACAAAUGCCCUGCUUCCAGGAAAAGCCUCUAAGCAUCAGGUAACAUCAAAUCGUACCCCAAACCGACACAGGUGGUCAGGUAGAGAAUACCAAGGCGCUUGAGAGAACUCGGGUGAAGGAACUAGGCAAAAUGGUGCCGUAACUUCGGGAGAAGGCACGCUGAUACGUAGGUGAAGCGACUUGCUCGUGGAGCUGAAAUCAGUCGAAGAUACCAGCUGGCUGCAACUGUUUAUUAAAAACACAGCACUGUGCAAACACGAAAGUGGACGUAUACGGUGUGACGCCUGCCCGGUGCCGGAAGGUUAAUUGAUGGGGUUAGCGCAAGCGAAGCUCUUGAUCGAAGCCCCGGUAAACGGCGGCCGUAACUAUAACGGUCCUAAGGUAGCGAAAUUCCUUGUCGGGUAAGUUCCGACCUGCACGAAUGGCGUAAUGAUGGCCAGGCUGUCUCCACCCGAGACUCAGUGAAAUUGAACUCGCUGUGAAGAUGCAGUGUACCCGCGGCAAGACGGAAAGACCCCGUGAACCUUUACUAUAGCUUGACACUGAACAUUGAGCCUUGAUGUGUAGGAUAGGUGGGAGGCUUUGAAGUGUGGACGCCAGUCUGCAUGGAGCCGACCUUGAAAUACCACCCUUUAAUGUUUGAUGUUCUAACGUGGACCCGUGAUCCGGGUUGCGGACAGUGUCUGGUGGGUAGUUUGACUGGGGCGGUCUCCUCCUAAAGAGUAACGGAGGAGCACGAAGGUUGGCUAAUCCUGGUCGGACAUCAGGAGGUUAGUGCAAUGGCAUAAGCCAGCUUGACUGCGAGCGUGACGGCGCGAGCAGGUGCGAAAGCAGGUCAUAGUGAUCCGGUGGUUCUGAAUGGAAGGGCCAUCGCUCAACGGAUAAAAGGUACUCCGGGGAUAACAGGCUGAUACCGCCCAAGAGUUCAUAUCGACGGCGGUGUUUGGCACCUCGAUGUCGGCUCAUCACAUCCUGGGGCUGAAGUAGGUCCCAAGGGUAUGGCUGUUCGCCAUUUAAAGUGGUACGCGAGCUGGGUUUAGAACGUCGUGAGACAGUUCGGUCCCUAUCUGCCGUGGGCGCUGGAGAACUGAGGGGGGCUGCUCCUAGUACGAGAGGACCGGAGUGGACGCAUCACUGGUGUUCGGGUUGUCAUGCCAAUGGCACUGCCCGGUAGCUAAAUGCGGAAGAGAUAAGUGCUGAAAGCAUCUAAGCACGAAACUUGCCCCGAGAUGAGUUCUCCCUGACCCUUUAAGGGUCCUGAAGGAACGUUGAAGACGACGACGUUGAUAGGCCGGGUGUGUAAGCGCAGCGAUGCGUUGAGCUAACCGGUACUAAUGAACCGUGAGGCUUAACCUUACAACGCCGAAGGUGUUU